UUGCACGCUGGCGGCAUGCUUUACCCCUGCAAGUCGGACGGCAGCACAGAGAAGCUUGCUUCUUGGGUGGCGAGUGGCGAACGGGUGAGUAAUAUAUCGGAACGUACCGAGUAAUGGAGGAUAACUAAUCGAAAGAUUAGCUAAUACCGCAUAUUCUCUGAGGAGGAAAGCAGGGGACCUUCGGGCCUUGCGUUAUUCGAGCGGCCGAUAUCUGAUUAGCUAGUUGGUGGGGUAAAGGCCUACCAAGGCGACGAUCAGUAGCGGGUCUGAGAGGAUGAUCCGCCACACUGGGACUGAGACACGGCCCAGACUCCUACGGGAGGCAGCAGUGGGGAAUUUUGGACAAUGGGCGCAAGCCUGAUCCAGCCAUGCCGCGUGUCUGAAGAAGGCCUUCGGGUUGUAAAGGACUUUUGUCAGGGAAGAAAAGGCUGUUGCUAAUAUCAAUAGCUGAUGACGGUACCUGAAGAAUAAGCACCGGCUAACUACGUG
rnacentral:rRNA from 1 species